CAAUCGAAUAGAGAUCAGGGUGCCUUAGCCCCCGGAUGGGAAGGCUCAAAGGCGAAGCCGGUGCAAGUCCGGUGCUGUCCCGCAACUGUAAGUGCCAGUUCCCAGUGAUCAGUGUUCAGUAAUCAGUCACUGAACGGCACAAGUCAGGCCGCCCGCCCUGGUCGGUUCACCACA
rnacentral:ncRNA from 2 species